UUUUCAUCACCUGAAGGCGUUCGAUAGAAAAACCUUCUCGACGUGACAAUGAAUGCCAAAGCUCUACUGGUUGCUCUCGUGGCUUGCGCCAUUCUUGUCGCCGGCACCAACGCAUGCGGCGGGGAAGGCCACUCUGAGUCCGGCCGGUGUGGCGGCAGCGAGGGGCGCAGAGAGAACGGACAAGCCGAGGCACGCCAGGAGAGCGAGACUGCCCGCUGCGGUGGAAGCGGCCGCUGCGAUGGCUAGGCGUGCCCCAAGAAACUUCUCUGGUCUGGCGUCGCGUCUGUCUGCUGUCAAUGUUGCCCUUCUUCUAAGAGCACUGAGACACUCUAUUGAUGAAUAAAUUCAAUAAAGCUGCAUUCAUCUGCG
rnacentral:lncRNA from 1 species